rnacentral:tRNA from 1 species
GCGAAUGUAGCUCAGUUGGCAGAGCCCUGGAUUGUGGAUCCAGUUGUCGUGGGUUCGAGUCCCAUCGUUCGCCCCA